rnacentral:rRNA from 1 species
AUACGUAGGUGACAAGCGUUAUCCGGAUUUACUGGGCGUAAAGGGCGUGUAGGCGGUCUUGCAAGUCAGAAGUGAAAUUCCUGAGCUCAACUCGGGCGCUGCUUCUGAAACUGCAGGACUUGAGUGCUGGAGGGGAUAGCGGAAUUCCUAGUGGAGCGGUAAAAUGCGCAGAUAUUAGGAAGAACACCGGUGGCGAAGGCGGCUAUCUGGACAGUAACUGACGCUGAGGCGCGAAAGCGUGGGGAGCAAACAGGAUUAGAUGCCCUGGUAGUCCACGCCGUAAACGAUGAAUACUAGGUGUAGGGGGUAUCGACUCCCUCUGUGCCGCAGUUAACACAAUAAGUAUUCCGCCUGGGGAGUACGGCCGUAAGGUUGAAACUCAAAUGAAUUGACGGGG